rnacentral:rRNA from 1 species
GACGAGGGAUCCUAGCGUUGUUCGGAAUUAUUGGGCGUAAAGCGGGUGUAGGCGGCUUUCUAAGUCAGGGGUGAAAUCCUGGAGCUCAACUCCAGAACUGCCUUUGAUACUGGAGAGCUUGAGUCCGGAAGAGGUGAGUGGAACUCCGAGUGUAGAGGUGAAAUUCGUAGAUAUUCGGAAGAACACCAGUGGCGAAGGCGGCUCACUGGUCCGGUACUGACGCUGAGGUGCGAAAGCGUGGGGAGCAAACAGG